rnacentral:rRNA from 1 species
GAUGAACGCUGGCGGCGUGCCUAAUACAUGCAAGUCGAGCGAAUGGAUUAAGAGCUUGCUCUUAUGAAGUUAGCGGCGGACGGGUGAGUAACACGUGGGUAACCUGCCCAUAAGACUGGGAUAACUCCGGGAAACCGGGGCUAAUACCGGAUAACAUUUUGAACCGCAUGGUUCGAAAGUGAAAGGCGGCCUCGGCUGUCACUUAUGGAUGGACCCGCGUCGCAUUAGCUAGUUGGUGAGGUAACGGCUCACCAAGGCAACGAUGCGUAGCCGACCUGGGAGGGUGAUCGGCCACACUGGGACUGAGACACGGCCCAGACUCCUACGGGAGGCAGCAGUAGGGAAUCUUCCGCAAUGGACGAAAGUCUGACGGAGCAACGCCGCGUGAGUGAUGAAGGCUUUCGGGUCGUAAAACUCUGUUGUUAGGGAAGAACAAGUGCUAGUUGAAUAAGCUGGCACCUUGACGGUACCUAACCAGAAAGCCACGGCUAACUACGUGCCAGCCGCCGCUGUAA